rnacentral:rRNA from 1 species
ACUACGGGUGGCAGCAGUGGGGAAUAUUGCACAAUGGGGGAAACCCUGAUGCAGCGACGCCGCGUGAGUGAAGACGUAUUUCGGUAUGUAAAGCUCUAUCAGCAGGGAAGAAAAUGACGGUACCUGAUGAAGAAGCCCCGGCUAACUACGUUCCAGCAGCCGCGGUACUACGUAGGAGGCAAGCGUUAUCCGGAUUUACUGGGUGUAAAGGGAGCGUAGACGGCAGCACAAGUCUGGAGGGAAAUGCUGGGGCUUAACCCCGGAACUGCUUUGGCAACUGUGCAGCUAGAGUGCAGGAGAGGUAAGUGGAAUUCCUAGUGUAGCGGUGAAAUGCGUAGAUAUUAGGAGGAACACCAGUGGCGAAGGCGGCUUACUGGACUGUAACUGACGUUGAGGCUCGAAAGCGUGGGGAGCAAACAGGAUUAGAUACCCUAGUAGUC